CAGCGGGCAAUUUUUAGUAGUCAUGUACAUUCUCGUAAUACAAAUUUUAUGAUCCUGAGAAGGGCAGCUGUGGUGGGAGCAACGGUACUCUAUUUCCAUCCCCACAAAUGGGUAUAACGAAAAACACACAGACAUUAUGAGAUACAACGACUUCUACUCUAGUUUCAUUUGGUAGAUGACGGUUGUUUCUAUCCCUCCAUACGGAUGAUGCAGCGAAGGCUUUCCCCUUUAAGCAUCAACUCAAAUGCCUUAUUGAUCUGAGAGAAAGGGACUGAAUGGGUGAUAAACUUUUCAAGUUCAAGCUCCUUGUUCAUGUAUUUUUCCACAACCGAAGGAAGGUCAGUGCGAGGCUUGUAGUUUCCAAAGAAGGUACCUUUGAGAGUCCUUUCAUUCAAAACAUUCAUUGGGUGGGUCUUGAAAACUGCUUCUUUGUGUGGCACUCCAACCAGUACAGCAAUUCCCCAACCAUCAUGUACACAUUCAAAUGCAGAAAUCAUAGCAUCAAUGUUUCCUGUACACUCUACGCUUCUGUCCACUCCUCCAUCAGUCAUCUCAGC
rnacentral:misc_RNA from 1 species